UUCCGCACUUAAAUGGAUAACUCAAACCCUUAUCUUGACCAGUUUGCAAUCCAGUAUUUAGAACUAGAUUCAGAAACUUCACAUACAUAAAGGGUGAGGCUUGAGUCUACUUUCGAUUACAAAAGUCGAGUAGAAAGAAGACUCACUACUCAAUUUGCAAAUUUUCUUUUUUUCGGUAUGCUGCUCCGCGAGCAGAUUCGGCUAAGAGAUUCGCAAUUGGACCUGAAAUCGGGGUGUUACUCUACUUAUACUUCUUAUCUAAAUUCUUUAUGAAUUUAAUCGCUCUCUCUUUUGCCUGUCGUUCUUGUAACACCUUAUGAGCUAUCUUGGACUAUGGUGCCCAGCCAGGGAAGCCUUCUUUUACAAAGAAACAAGCAGAUCUUUUCUUCCCCCCAGGUUUUGCCAAUGACUUUCCAGUUGCAAUGCAGAUAUCCCACAAAUAUAGUUUGAUCUACGUGAUCACCAAGCUUGGGCUAUUAUUUGUUUAAGACUUGGAGACCGCUACUGCAGUUUAUAGGAAUAGAAUCAGUCCAGAUCCAAUAUUUUUGACAGCAGAAGCUUCAUCAGUGGGAGGUUUUUAUGCAAUCAAUAGAUGUGGACAGAUGUUAUUGGCUACUGUAAAUGAUCAAACAAUUGUACCAUUUGUCAGUGGCCAGUUGAACAAUUUGGAGCUUGUUGUCAAUCUUGCCAAAAGAGGGAAUCUUCUUGGAGCCUAGCAGCUUGUUGUCCAACAUUUCCAAGAACUAUUUGCCCAAAUGAAGUACAAAGAAGCUACAGAACUUGCUGCCGAGUCCCCACAAGGAAUCCUCCGAACACCGGACACAGUUGCCAAAUUUCAGGUUUUACAUGUUGAUUCUCCAAUCAAACACAUCUUACCUUUCAAAAAAAGUUUUCAAUCAAAGACAUUUCGUUGGCUGCUAAUAUUUCAUAGCUUCAAUGUUCUUCAUCCAUAUCAAGUUGUCUCCAUUUGAUAUCUGGCCAUUCAAGAUCUCUGUAUGCACUGGUUGUAUUGGCCUUAUCUCUUCUCACUGUCUUUGUUGUCCAGUUUGACAUUCAUUGUGUAUCUGGAUCUUUCUUUUACUGGAAUUGAAUGUUGCUUCAUAAGAUUGUUCCAGUUA